rnacentral:rRNA from 1 species
AACGAACGCUGGCGGCGCGCCUAAUACAUGCAAGUCGAACGAGAAGGUGUAGCAAUACACUUGUACAGUGGCGAACGGGUGAGGAAUGCAUGGGCAACCUACCCUCGAGUGGGGAACAACCAGCCGAAAGGUUGGCUAAUACCGCGUACGCUUCCGGGUCUCCGGAUCCCGGAAGGAAAGUCACACCGUGGGUGUGACGCUCAAGGAUGGGCUCAUGUCCUAUCAGCNGUUGGUGAGGUAACGGCUCACCAAGGCAACGACGGGUAGCUGGUCUGAGAGGACGAUCAGCCACACUGGCACUGCGACACGGGCCAGACUCCUACGGGAGGCAGCAGUAAGGAAUAUUGCGCAAUGGGCGAAAGCCUGACGCAGCGACGCCGCGUGGGGGAUGAAGGUCUU